rnacentral:rRNA from 1 species
CGCAGUGAAGAGGCCCAGGCGACUGUUUAGCAAAAACACAGGUCCCUGCCAAACCGAAAGGUGACGUAUAGGGGCUGACGCCUGCCCGGUGCUGGAAGGUUAAGGGGAGGAGUGAGAGCUCUGAACCGAAGCCCCAGUAAACGGCGGCCGUAACUAUAACGGUCCUAAGGUAGCGAAAUUCCUUGUCGGGUAAGUUCCGACCCGCACGAAAGGCGUAACGAUCUGGGCACUGUCUCAACGAGGGACUCGGUGAAAUUGAUAUACCCGUGAAGAAGCGGGUUACUUGCGAUAGGACAGAAAGACCCCGUAGAGCUUUACUGUAGCCUGACAUUGGAUUUUGGUGUGUUUUGUACAGGAUAGGUGGGAGACGU